GGAGGGAUCAUUACCAGAGUGCCUUUUGGCUCUCCCACCCACCUGUGAACAUACCUACGUUUCCCUCGGCGGGCUCAGCGCGCGGCGGUACUCCCGCCACGCGUCCGCCGAGGGCACCCAAACUCGAAUUUACUACGUGUAUCUCUGAGGGGCGAAAGCCCGUAAAACAAAAUGAAUCAAAACUUUCAACAACGGAUCUCUUGGCUCUGGCAUCGAUGAAGAACGCAGCGAAAUGCGAUAAGUAAUGUGAAUUGCAGAAUUCAGUGAAUCAUCGAAUCUUUGAACGCACAUUGCGCCCGCCGGCACUCCGGCGGGCAUGCCUGUCCGAGCGUCAUUUCAACCCUCGGGCCCUCCCUUCGCGGGGAUCGGGCCCGGCGUUGGGGACCGGAGGCCGCCUCGGCGGCACCCGCCCCCUAAAUUCAGUGGCGGUCGCGCCGCAGCCUCCCACUGCGUAGUAGCACACCUCGCACCGGAGAGCGGCACGGCCACGCCUCGAAACCCCCCAAUUUAUAACAAGGUUGACCUCGGAUCAG
rnacentral:rRNA from 1 species